rnacentral:rRNA from 1 species
UACGUAGGGUGCGAGCGUUGUUCGGAAUUACUGGGCGUAAAGCGCGCGCAGGCGGCCUUUUAAGUCUUGUGGUGAAAUGCCGGGGCUCAACCCCGUGCCCGCCGGAGAUACUGGGAGGCUGGAGACGAGUAGAGGCAAGCGGAAUUCCGGGUGUAGCGGUGGAAUGCGUAGAGAUCCGGAAGAACGCCGGAGGCGAAGGCGGCUUGCGUGGG